UUGAGAUUAUGGGGCCAACAUGGCUAAGGCUACUGUUGAUAAGUGUGUUGGCUUUAGAAGGUGCAGUGUGGAGUGAUGGAUGUUGGGAUGAAGAGCGUGUUGCACUCUUGCAACUCCAACAUUUCUUGACUGACAUAGAGUAUUCACGCGAGGGUCCAGAUUGUUGUGAAUGGAAAUGGGUUGACUGCAACAUCACCACUCGACGAGUAAUUCAACUCUCUUCUUUAUGGGGUCGUUUGAAGAUCAAGGAUUCUAACCUCUUUAAUGCCUCAAUGUUUCUUCCCUUUGAAGAAUUGAAAAGCCUUGAUCUCUCUGGUAAUGACCUAGUUGGAUGUGUUGAGAAUGAAGGUUUUGGAAAGCUAUCCAAGUUGAGACAUCUAGAGAAUCUUGGCUUAAGUUACAAUAGACUAAAUGAUAGCACUUUAUCAUCAUUGAGUAAAAUCUCGACCCUCAAGUCUCUAAAUAUAGGAGCAAAUGACCUUUUUACAGAAUCAAAUCAAACUAUCGGUAAAUUAUAAUAUCAUGUCUAUAUGUAUUAUUGCUCACGUAAAUAAUUAGUCAUCUUCAUAUGUUUUAUUUAUUUUACUACUUGUAGCACCAUUGAAGUGGCUAUCAAAACUUGGCGGUUUGGAAACUCUUGAUUUAAGUAUAACCAAUGCGAAGAACAACUUGUUGUUACAUUUGGGUGGCCUUUCAUCCUUAAUAACUUUAAUUCUUCAGCAAAAUGAUCUAAAAGAAACUAUUCAUCUUCGGGGUAAGACCUUUGUUGCUCUUUCAUUUGUUUUUCCUUAUAAAAUAACUGACUUUUAAUUGGAUUUGAACAGACUUGUAUAACUUGACAAAUUUGAAGAAGCUGGAUUUAAGUUAUAAUAGAAUUGAGAGGAUACAUGGCAAUGACGGACAACUGAGUUUGAUCAAUUUAGAAGAAAUUGAUUUGACUGUUAAUCUGUUCAACAACAGUAUAAUGGAAGAGUUAAGUGGGUUUUCAAAUCUAAAGUCUUUGAAAAUAGGAUCUAACCGACUGAAUGGAUUAGUAGAUCUUAAAGAAUUGUGUGCUCUGGGCCAUUUAGAGACUCUAGACUUGAGCUACAAUGAGGUGAAUCGAUUUGUGACUUCUAAAGGGAAUAAAUGCUUGAGAAAUUUAAAAAUUCUAAAUAUGGAUGCUAUGCAAAUCAUUUCUCUUGUAUCACUCCUACACCCAUUUUCAUCUGUCA